UGGGUACCUCGUUUCUUGUGUGUGUGAUCGAGUGGUUGCUGUUUACGAUAUGUUCAUAUAUCGCUUUGUAGUGCUGUAAUGUGCAAAUUAGCGGACUUUAUAGCGGCUCUCUAUUUUCCGUCGUUGUCUUUCGAGCAGCGCCUGUUGUUCCGGUAAAAAUCGAGUUGAAUGAAUCGCCACAGCCCCAACGUAUAUCGCGCAGUGUUGACCAAGACCAAGUCAAGCAGGAAUUCUGGCAUGGUAUGUGGCUGCACGAAGGAUUCCGGAAAAGAAAAACAACAACAUGGCUAAUAGGAUGUUGCUGCCCAGGGAGUCCUGGCGAAGAGGUUUACUCAUUCCAGAAGCAAGAAUUGUAUCAUUGUAAGGCGAAUGGAAAUAAACUGACAUCGACUGAGA